rnacentral:rRNA from 1 species
UACGUAGGGUGCGAGCGUUGUCCGGAAUUAUUGGGCGUAAAGAGCUCGUAGGCGGUCUGUCGCGUCGAAUGUGAAAAUCCGAGGCUCAACCUCGGACCUGCAUUCGAUACGGGCAGACUAGAGUUCGGUAGGGGAGUCUGGAAUUCCUGGUGUAGCGGUGAAAUGCGCAGAUAUCAGGAGGAACACCGGUGGCGAAGGCGGGACUCUGGGCCGAUACUGACGCUGAGGAGCGAAAGCGUGGGGAGCAAACAGG